AGAGUUUGAUCCUGGCUCAGGAUGAACGCUGGCGGCGUGCUUAACACAUGCAAGUCGAACGGUGAAGGAGAGCUUGCUCUCCGGAUCAGUGGCGAACGGGUGAGUAACACGUGAGCAAUCUGCCCCUGACUCUGGGAUAAGCGCUGGAAACGGCGUCUAAUACCGGAUACGAGCUGCGAAGGCAUCUUCAGCAGCUGGAAAGAACCUCGGUCAGGGAUGAGCUCGCGGCCUAUCAGCUUGUUGGUGAGGUAAUGGCUCACCAAGGCGUCGACGGGUAGCCGGCCUGAGAGGGUGACCGGCCACACUGGGACUGAGACACGGCCCAGACUCCUACGGGAGGCAGCAGUGGGGAAUAUUGCACAAUGGGCGAAAGCCUGAUGCAGCAACGCCGCGUGAGGGACGACGGCCUUCGGGCUGUAAACCUCUUUUAGCAGGGAAGAAGCGAAAGUGACGGUACCUGCAGAAAAAGCACCGGCUAACUACGUGCCAGCAGCCGCGGUAAUACGUAGGGUGCAAGCGUUAUCCGGAAUUAUUGGGCGUAAAGAGCUCGUAGGCGGUUUGUCGCGUCUGCUGUGAAAACCCGAGGCUCAACCUCGGGCCUGCAGUGGGUACGGGCAGACUAGAGUGCGGUAGGGGAGAUUGGAAUUCCUGGUGUAGCGGUGGAAUGCGCAGAUAUCAGGAGGAACACCGAUGGCGAAGGCAGAUCUCUGGGCCGUAACUGACGCUGAGGAGCGAAAGGGUGGGGAGCAAACAGGCUUAGAUACCCUGGUAGUCCACCCCGUAAACGUUGGGAACUAGUUGUGGGGUCCAUUCCACGGAUUCCGUGACGCAGCUAACGCAUUAAGUUCCCCGCCUGGGGAGUACGGCCGCAAGGCUAAAACUCAAAGGAAUUGACGGGGACCCGCACAAGCGGCGGAGCAUGCGGAUUAAUUCGAUGCAACGCGAAGAACCUUACCAAGGCUUGACAUAUAGAGGAAACGUCUGGAAACAGUCGCCCCGCAAGGUCUCUAUACAGGUGGUGCAUGGUUGUCGUCAGCUCGUGUCGUGAGAUGUUGGGUUAAGUCCCGCAACGAGCGCAACCCUCGUUCUAUGUUGCCAGCACGUAAUGGUGGGAACUCAUGGGAUACUGCCGGGGUCAACUCGGAGGAAGGUGGGGAUGACGUCAAAUCAUCAUGCCCCUUAUGUCUUGGGCUUCACGCAUGCUACAAUGGCCGGUACAAAGGGCUGCAAUACCGUAAGGUGGAGCGAAUCCCAAAAAGCCGGUCCCAGUUCGGAUUGAGGUCUGCAACUCGACCUCAUGAAGUCGGAGUCGCUAGUAAUCGCAGAUCAGCAACGCUGCGGUGAAUACGUUCCCGGGUCUUGUACACACCGCCCGUCAAGUCAUGAAAGUCGGUAACACCUGAAGCCGGUGGCCCAACCCUUGUGGAGGGAGCCGUCGAAGGUGGGAUCGGUAAUUAGGACUAAGUCGUAACAAGGUA
rnacentral:rRNA from 1 species